UUAUGGUUUAAUUUCAUUAAGUGAUGUAACUUGAGACACAAACAGAGCUGAAGUGGACUCUCGCUGUUACCAAGCCGACCAGAGGGUUCCCAACCUGCCUUGAGUUACACUAAUUAGCUCACCUUCCGCGGAUCAAGCGCAGCGUGGUUUUCUUCAUUGGUUAAUUGCAGUCUGGUCGAGUUCGGUUCAGAGGGAACCGGACAGCGCGCUGGUGGCCGCCCAAGUCUGGCAACGUAAUGUUGUGUUCAUGAAACCAAAACGGAGAAAAAAACGGAGCGUUUCACCUGAACCUGAAGUGUAUCGUGGAGGUUAAACUGCGGUUCUGUGAGUAUCCGAAUUCAACCAUGAAGAAGAGACUGCGAACUACGGGGACAGGGAUUCAGAAGGAGAGACUCCAGGGGGAGAAGUGAGGGCUCUUCGCCUCAACGACUAGAACUCUACUUCGGUCUGUCACCAGAGAGCCAUAGAGCACACUCCAACGUUGUCCUCCGUGCAUCAUGACGCCUCAGCCACAAUUUCUCCACCUCCUCAGCUAGAGGAGAGCACAGCUCCAGUUCAGAAAAGGUCUUUGUUGGGGCCCUUCCAAGAUGGUUUCUGAUCUGAGGGGAGCCAUCUCCCAGGUUCAGCUGGCUCCGCCCAUCACUGUGCAGUUCAGCCUGAGAGGCUUCCAUCUCGGGGGUUGGAGUGAACAAAACACCGUCCACAGAGAGCCUCCACCUGGUCCAGCAGAGUCCUCAGCCUGCUGACGAUGGAGCAUCCUGCUCCUCAAGAGCUAUGGCCCACCACUGGGUCGUCUCCUGAAUAGAUGACCUUCUCCUCCUCUCUCCUAGAGUCCUGUCCUGAAGCUCAAUAAAGCUGCACUGUUUCCAUCUGUCAAGGCUCCUCAUUCAGGAAACAAAGACGCCACACAUUAAAUCACCCGGACACCUUUUGGAGACCCCUGCAAAAUCCAUGACCAAUGUGGGCCUGGGUUCCACCUGGCCUGGGGUUCUGUGUGUGUGUGUGUGUGUGUGUGUGUGUGUGUGUGUGUGUGUGCUGGCAUGGGGUUCUAUAUGCAGUGUUUCCCCUAUGAUUGUACAGGCCAAAACAUAAAAAAAACAAUAUCAAUAAUUGCGUUAUAUUGAUGCGCGACCCAUCGCUAACCGUCCCUUCAAUCACCGGAUUGAGAGCGCAUUUAUCUCAAACCCCAAAACUUAAACUAACGAGAGCGAGUCUCGCCGUCCUCUCCUCGGCUGCCUUGGAAACAAACUCAUCGCCCUGAAAUAUUAAGUCCACACGUUAAACGUGAAUAGCCGCGCUGCGACUAUGCCGAUGAAGUCUCCACUUUACAGGGCAGUGGUGACGAGCUGAUGCUCCAACCUAUCGCCAAAAUAUCCAUUUAUUAAUAGUUUUGAUGGAUGUUUUAAUAAAUGGGAGUGUUCCCUGUUCAAUAACUAAAAUGGUCUAUCAGCCUUUUUCCGCUUUAUUGGUGCGUACCACCAGGCCUGAAAACAAUUAUAGGGGAAGCACUUUGUGUGUGUGUGUGUGUGUGUGUGUGUGUGUGUGUUGCCUUGACCGGUAAAAUGUCCAUGAG
ensembl:lncRNA